GAGAGAGAACUCGGAGCAAUAGAGGGAUCAUUUUAACGUAUAGAAUGGAAUCGCAACUCUCGCGCAUGUGUCACUGUGUUUCUGAAACACAGAAUCAACGUGAAACAGGUGUGAUGUUUCAUAACUUGGUCGACGUGAAUUAUAAAAUGGCAAAAUUGAAAAAAAUAAAUAAAAUAUGGAUACUUUUUUUUCGAUAUGGAUUAAGAUUUUUUUUUUAAAUCGAGACCCUGUGCUAUGUUGUUAAACUUGCGAUUACCUGAAAAUUGGAUUACACAAAACUAAUGGAUUAUUUUCCUCUUCUGCAUAUGGGGGCGUCCCAAGAAAUAAGGAUAAUAAAAAGAGGAAAAUGUAGCCAAAAUCAAAAAACAGUAAGGAACUUCAUGUCAAGAUUUUAGUGAACAUGUACUUACAAAAACAAGGCACAUAUAUCGCACUUGAACGCCCAGGAUGCUGAAAUAAAUAGUGAAACUCCCUGACGGAGGAAUCUGGAAACACUCCGACUCCUUCACCAAUCCUGGCAGAGCUGCUGAGUUGGAGGAAAAAUGAGACUACCUGCCGGAAUUUUAAAGGCCAAGACUCUUAACUCCUCAGUCCUGAUUGAAACUC